rnacentral:rRNA from 1 species
GACGAACGCUGGCGGCGUGCUUAACACAUGCAAGUCGAGCGAGGUCCAUCCAGUGGCAACACUGGGGAAGACCUAGCGGCGAACGGGUGAGUAACACGUGAGCAACCUGCCCCGAAGACUGGGAUAACACCGGGAAACCGGUGCUAAUACCGGAUGCCCUCACCGGGCCGCAUGACCUGGUGAGGAAAUGAAUUUUGCUUCGGGAGGGGCUCGCGGGCUAUCAGCUUGUUGGUGAGGUAACGGCUCACCAAGGCUACGACGGCUAGCUGGUCUGAGAGGACGAUCAGCCACACUGGGACUGAGACACGGCCCAGACUCCUACGGGAGGCAGCAGUGGGGAAUCUUGCGCAAUGGGCGAAAGCCUGACGCAGCGACGCCGCGUGAGGGAUGACGGCCU